UCCACCCUUAGGUGGGUGGAGAAAACAGGAGAAUUCUGGGAGAAGGAGUCUUGGUGGAGAGUCGCCAUGGUUCUCCCGCUCCAGACAGACGCAGGUUAAGAUCCUCCCUGGUAAGCCAGCUCGUGGGCUACACAGAAUAUUAGAAAUGGGUUAGAACAAUAUGUAAGAGCUAGCCAUAAGGAACUGGAACUAUCCGGGCCAGGCAGUGUUUGAAAGAA